GUUUUAUACAUCAACUU
rnacentral:sRNA from 1 species